CCUACGGGUGGCAGCAGUGGGGAAUAUUGGGCAAUGGGCGCAAGCCUGACCCAGCAACGCCGCGUGAAGGAAGAAGGCUUUCGGGUUGUAAACUUCUUUUAUCAGGGACGAAGCAAGUGACGGUACCUGAUGAAUAGGCACGGGCAACUAAGUGCCAGCAGCCGGGGGAAUUCGUAGGUGGCAAAGGUUAUCCGGAUUUACGGGGUGGAAAGGGCGUGUAGGCGGGAGUGCAAGUCAGAUUUGAAAACUAUGGGCUCAACCCAUAGCCUGCAUUUGAAACUGUACUUCUUGAGUGCUGGAGAGGCAAUCGGAAUUCCGUGUGUAGCGGUGAAAUGCGUAGAUAUACGGAGGAACACCAGUGGCGAAGGCGGAUUGCUGGACAGUAACUGACGCUGAGGCGCGAAAGCGUGGGGAGCAAACAGGAUUAGAUACCCGGGUAGUC
rnacentral:rRNA from 1 species